AACGAACGCUGGCGGCAGGCCUAACACAUGCAAGUCGAACGCGUCCUUCGGGACGAGUGGCAGACGGGUGAGUAACGCGUGGGAACGUACCCUUUGGUUCGGAACAACAGCGGGAAACUGCUGCUAAUACCGGAUAAGCCCUGCGGGGGAAAGAUUUAUCGCCAGAGGAUCGGCCCGCGUUAGAUUAGCUUGUUGGUGAGGUAAUGGCUCACCAAGGCUACGAUCUAUAGCUGGUCUGAGAGGAUGAUCAGCCACACUGGGACUGAGACACGGUCCAGACUCUUACGGGAGGCAGCAGUGGGGAAUCUUGGACAAUGGGCGAAAGCCUGAUCCAGCCAUGCCGCGUGAAUGAUGAAGGCCCUAGGGUUGUAAAAUUCUUUCGACGGGGAAGAUAAUGACGGUACCCGUAGAAGAAGCUCCGGCUAACUUCGUGCCAGCAGCCGCAGUAA
rnacentral:rRNA from 1 species